GACGAACGCUGGCGGCGUGCUUAACACAUGCAAGUCGAACGGAAAGGCCCUGCUUUUGUGGGGUGCUCGAGUGGCGAACGGGUGAGUAACACGUGAGUAACCUGCCCUUGACUUUGGGAUAACUUCAGGAAACUGGGGCUAAUACCGGAUAGGAGCUCCUGCUGCAUGGUGGGGGUUGGAAAGUUUCGGCGGUUGGGGAUGGACUCGCGGCUUAUCAGCUUGUUGGUGGGGUAGUGGCUUACCAAGGCUUUGACGGGUAGCCGGCCUGAGAGGGUGACCGGCCACAUUGGGACUGAGAUACGGCCCAGACUCCUACGGGAGGCAGCAGUGGGGAAUAUUGCACAAUGGGCGGAAGCCUGAUGCAGCAACGCCGCGUGCGGGAUGACGGCCUUCGGGUUGUAAACCGCUUUCGCCUGUGACGAAGCGUGAGUGACGGUAAGGGGUAAAGAAGCACCGGCUAACUACGUG
rnacentral:rRNA from 1 species